rnacentral:rRNA from 1 species
GCUAGCUACAGGCUUAACACAUGCAAGUCGAGGCCUUCAUGGUCUUAGCUUGCUAAGACUGAUGGCGACCGGCGCACGGGUGAGUAACACGUAUCCAACCUGCCGUCUACUCUUGGACAGCCUUCUGAAAGGAAGAUUAAUACAAGAUGGCAUCAUGAGUCCGCAUGUUCACAUGAUUAAAGGUAUUCCGGUAGACGAUGGGGAUGCGUUCCAUUAGAUAGUAGGCGGGGUAACGGCCCACCUAGUCUUCGAUGGAUAGGGGUUCUGAGAGGAAGGUCCCCCACAUUGGAACUGAGACACGGUCCAAACUCCUACGGGAGGCAGCAGUGAGGAAUAUUGGUCAAUGGGCGAGAGCCUGAACCAGCCAAGUAGCGUGAAGGAUGACUGCCCUAUGGGUUGUAAACUUCUUUUAUAAAGGAAUAAAGUCGGGUAUGCAUACCCGUUUGCAUGUACUUUAUGAAUAAGGAUCGGCUAACUCCGUGCCAGCAGCCGCGGUAAUACGGAGGAUCCGAGCGUUAUCCGGAUUUAUUGGGUUUAAAGGGAGCGUAGAUGGAUGUUUAAGUCAGUUGUGAAAGUUUGCGGCUCAACCGUAAAAUUGCAGUUGAUACUGGAUAUCUUGAGUGCAGUUGAGGCAGGCGGAAUUCGUGGUGUAGCGGUGAAAUGCUUAGAUAUCACGAAGAACUCCGAUUGCGAAGGCAGCCUGCUAAGCUGCAACUGACAUUGAGGCUCGAAAGUGUGGGUAUCAAACAGGAUUAGAUACCCUGGUAGUCCACACGGUAAACGAUGAAUACUCGCUGUUUGCGAUAUACUGCAAGCGGCCAAGCGAAAGCGUUAAGUAUUCCACCUGGGGAGUACGCCGGCAACGGUGAAACUCAAAGGAAUUGACGGGGGCCCGCACAAGCGGAGGAACAUGUGGUUUAAUUCGAUGAUACGCGAGGAACCUUACCCGGGCUUAAAUUGCAGAUGAAUUACGGUGAAAGCCGUAAGCCGCAAGGCAUCUGUGAAGGUGCUGCAUGGUUGUCGUCAGCUCGUGCCGUGAGGUGUCGGCUUAAGUGCCAUAACGAGCGCAACCCUUGUUGUCAGUUACUAACAGGUUCCGCUGAGGACUCUGACAAGACUGCCAUCGUAAGAUGUGAGGAAGGUGGGGAUGACGUCAAAUCAGCACGGCCCUUACGUCCGGGGCUACACACGUGUUACAAUGGGGGGUACAGAGGGCCGCUACCACGCGAGUGGAUGCCAAUCCCCAAAACCUCUCUCAGUUCGGACUGGAGUCUGCAACCCGACUCCACGAAGCUGGAUUCGCUAGUAAUCGCGCAUCAGCCACGGCGCGGUGAAUACGUUCCCGGGCCUUGUACACACCGCCCG